rnacentral:lncRNA from 1 species
GUGGUGGGCGCCUGUAAUCCCAGCUACUCAGGAGGCUGAGGCAGGAGAAUCACUUGAACCCAGGAGGUGGAGGUUGCAAUGAGCCAAGAUCGCGCCAUUGCACUCCAGCCUGGGGACAAGAGCAAGACUUCGUCUCAAAAAAAAAAAAAAAGAAAGAAAGAAAUGAUCAACCCAGUCUUUUCAUUGUAGGGCUGGAGCCACACCAAGGGCCAGAGAGCGGCAGGGACUUGCGGGAGGUCUUACGUUGAGUUUGUGAUUCAUACAUAGGACAGAACCCAAGUAUCCUUCUCCCAGCACAGUGCUGUUUCCACAUACCCCACUGAUAGGAAAUGGAGCAUCUAAAUCAAACAAGAACAUUCCUCAUUGCAUUAGGAGAAUGAGUGAAUCAGGGCCUUGGCUAGGGGAGAAUGGAACUCGGGAGCAGCUAAUGAACUAGGAAAAGAGCAGCCCUGGGUCCCUUCCUUAGAUCCAUAACCUGAGGCAAUCUCAGGAGUGUAAGACCCUCCAGUGGAUUCUAGGUACUUUUUGGUGCUGGGUGUAUGUGUAUGUUAAAGAGAGAUUUUGGUGAUAGUUAAAUGAGAAUGCAUAUCAAGCACAUGAUAUUGACUAAAAUUGUUCUAGGCAAUUGUGGCAGUUUUUGGUAAAAAGUAAAUAAAUGAGCAGGGUCCAUGGUCCCAGCUUCUCUCCUCAGCCUAAGAAGACAUUUUUAAUUCUCUCUAUCCAGCUCCCAAAUACCUGCAUGAGGAGGUAGUUGUAUCUUCAGAGGUUUUCACAGUCAUUCAGCACCUUAAGGUGAAUGAAACCAUUUCAUACCCACAACUUGCCCAUUUCCCAAGAGACCGUCACGCAGAGGAUAAGGUGUGGGUUCUGGCCUCUGGGCUUAAAUCACAGCCCUGCCACUUACAACUCUGUGCCUUGGUUUCUUUAUCAAUGACAUGAAGGCUGUAACUGUGCCCAAUUCAGAGGGUGGUGACAAUCAAAUGCCACAAGGCUUGGCCUCAGUGAAAGGUAGCGAUGAUCAUUAUGAUCAUCAAUUCUAUGAGGCAGCAGGGAUUGCUUCUCUCCUUUUUCCAGGAGGACCCCAAGGCCUGGAGCUGGGGAGCAGCUUGCCCUAGACAUCAGACUGUCUUCUGAGGAGCUGGGCCUGGAAGGCAUUGCUGCUGACUUUUCUCCAGGCUCUUUCCCCUUUUCUUCCUUCUCUAUCCCAACUAUUUUCCCUGUGUCCCUGGGCUGGCCUGUUACACUUCAGUUUCUAGGGCACCACUGGAGGAGAGGAAAGGGCAAAGUGACACUGGGGGAAAUUCCCAGCCUCGUCACAUACGUGGCCUAGCCAGGGUGUCAAGCUGGAUCUGGGCUUGCAUCCAGGGUUGCCCCUUGUCAUCCUCCUGGAAGUGGGAACAGGUCAGCCAGGCCCAGCCCGGCCCAGCCUCUCAGGAAGUUAGACCCACAAAACCGGAGCAUUUCCUAAUCCCGGGAAGCCCUAACAGGGCCCUGAGAGCAAUCCUCUUUCAGUCCCACCCACCUUCCUCCCUGUCCUCUCCCACACCCUCUUCUUCUAUGGCCCCUCCCCGCUCUCCCUCCAUUCCUCUGUAGCCUAGAAGCCACCGUCAGACUUGGCCUCUGUUCCUUGCCUCUUCUAGCCAGGGACUUCCCUAGGCUGUGAAAAGAUGCCUGGGGAGGGGAUGAAGAGGGCCGUUUGGAUGAACUGGCCUUUCUUCAUCAUUCCUGGUUCCAGAGUUUCCUCAUUCUUAUGGUAACAUUUAUGGACCACUGAGGAUACAGGAGUGGACCAAUCAGACCCGCUUCCUGCUCUCUCAGAGCUCACAGACUCUCAGGAGCCAUAUGGGGCUAUUUAAAUAAGUAGAAUUAAACUAAAAUUAAAUAGAAUUUUAGUCCAGAUUUUCUAAGUGAUCAAAGAGGAAGCUGCGUCAGCUGUGUCUGCCUGCCCUUGGCCCACUCCCUGUGCCCUGGGCUCUCUGUUACAGGUUCCACCACAAAAGAGUCCAGCGGCCCUAGAAGCAGAGCAGGCAGGAGAGAAGCAAGAGAUCCUUUUGCUCCAGUGUUAAGGAGGGUCUCAGCCUCCACUAUGUUCCCCUGGAGGCAGCGCCGAUUCUUGGCCUCUUCCUAUCUAGCUGUAGACUUCUAAAGUGCCCAACACACACUUGUACCCUCUCCAUCAAAAAUUCACUGUACACACAGAUACACACACAAAUACACACAGUCACCAACUUACACCCACACAGAAAGACACAUACACGCUUCAGGGAUCUGACACAACACAGGCACACAUUCUCACACACACAAACACCCACAUCCAUAUUCACACUUGCAUACCUCCCUUUUCUUGAGGGAAUAAGACAAAAAUAGGCUUUGCUUUUCCCUUUGGAAAAGCUAGUAACAACUAGAGAGAAAAAGACUGGCCAAGAAGGCAAGGCCAGAAGAAGAGGGGCAGGAAGAAGGAACGAGAUGGGGGAGAGAAGACAGUGGAGAAGGAGGCUGGGUGAGGAGCAGGGGCUGGGAGCCCAAGACCUGGGUGGGAAGAGCAAGCUAGGCUGAGAGCAGCAGACCCUGGCUGGCAGGACAUGGGAGGCCAGGUGGCUCUUGGCACAGAGCUGAGGGUGUCUGCUUGCCCCAGCACCCUUGUGCGGUGGGUCCUUUCCCCUGUCCUGGCCCACCGGCCCCCAUCUAGUCACUCACCUGGGGAAGGGCAGGAGAAUACGAGGGUGUGUGCACCAGGGGCGGCUGUCCCUAUGAAGGCUCCUCGGCUCACUGUGCUUCUGCAGGAAGGAGGGCUGGGCUGA